rnacentral:rRNA from 1 species
GUAGCGAAAUUCCUUGUCGGGUAAGUUCCGACCUGCACGAAUGGCGUAACGACUUCCCCACUGUCUCCAACAUCGACUCAGCGAAAUUGAAUUGCCCGUGAAGAUGCGGGCUACCCGCGGUUAGACGGAAAGACCCCGUGCACCUUUACUACAGCUUCACACUGGCAUCAGGCCAAGCAUGUGCAGGAUAGGUGGUAGGCUUCGAAGCAGUGACGCCAGUCGCUGUGGAGCCUUCCUUGAGAUACCACCCUUGCUUUGCUUGAUGUCUAACCGCGGUCCGUUAUCCGGAUCCGGGACCCUGCGUGGCGGGUAGUUUGACUGGGGCGGUCGCCUCCUAAAG